rnacentral:rRNA from 1 species
UAUCCGAACGACUCUCGGCAACGGAUAUCUCGGCUCUUGCAUCGAUGAAGAACGUAGCGAAAUGCGAUACUUGGUGUGAAUUGCAGAAUCCCGUGAACCAUCGAGUCUUUGAACGCAAGUUGCGCCCGAAGCCAUUAGGCUGAGGGCACGCCUGCCUGGGUGUCGCAC